GGGUUCAUAGCUCAGCUGGCAGAGCGUCCGGCCGUUAACCGGAAGGCCGCAGGUUCAAUCCCUGCUGUUCCCG
rnacentral:tRNA from 1 species